GGAGUGCUGGCUCCAGUCACAUGCACUCCUCCUUUAGGAACUCCUCUUUCAGAUUCUUCCUACUCUAGGUUGUCAAGGAAGAGAUUGUCAGUUGAUGGAUACUACGUUACCAGAUGAGAGGCAUAUAGGAAAGCAGCACAGAGUCUGAAUUCGAAAAAGGGGUUUGCUGUGACUAUCUUCAGUAAACCAGUUGUAAAUGGAAUGGCACCAACAAUCUCGACUCCUCCAUCGUGUCCAUGAGCGCCUGCCCCAAUGCUCCACUAUGAGUCUGCGGCCACAUCUCUGUAUUUGCGCCGACAGUCGGUGCCAUCCUUUAGUUGUAUCACGUUGCAAAUAUAUUAUCCUGCCACAAGAGGAUGUUAAGUUCACGGUUGUCCUGGCCUCUACGUUUCAAUAGAUCCUUUCCAGGUUGGCAUGCCUUACUCCCUUCCCUAAGACCACUGGCCCGUCAUCUUGGGGAUGCCGCCGUCCUUUCUCAGUUGGUUGGGAUGGACGUUAUGAGAUUUGCGUUGUUUGAGGUGGGUUUUGUCGAUUUGGCGAACUUUGUGAUGUCUCACAUCUUUCC